rnacentral:lncRNA from 1 species
UAAAAGUCUCUCUUUCAACCGUCAACUUCCCUCCUUUCGUCGUUAGCCUGAACAAUUCAUCUUCCGCAGCAUCAACACAGGUCCCAUUAAUGUCACAGAUCUCUCCUUUAGGUGAUAGAGGCAAUAGCGUGUGGAUCACGGGUUCUGAUUUCACCAAAGACACAAACUUUGUGUACAAGAGCUCGACUUUAUCGACUUCUUCGCUUAUAAACAGAGAGAAGACAUCAUCAGCCACAGCUUGUGCUUCUUUAGCCGUAGGUAAAGUUCCGGCUUCAAGGUAUCUGUCGACGGGUAUGUACGGACGACGGAGGAAAUAAGAAUUUCCCUUCUUCCCCACGCUAAUGACUGUGUAAUCAAGACCAAGACCUUUAAGCUCUUUGAUUCUUGCCUCUGCUUUCUUGAUGAUGAAAUUGUUGAAUCCACCACAUAAUCCACGAUCACCGGUUACGACAACGAGUGCUACUUUCUUAACCGGUCUGACUUUGGUUAAGGGCACAUCGACAUCAUCGGUUUGAAGCUGUUCGUUGAUGUUGUAAAGAACUUCAACUAGGGUUUCUGAGAAUGGUCGACCAUUGACGACAGCUUCUUGAGCUCUCCUGACUUUAGCUGCAGCGACAAGCUUCAUAGCUUCGGUGAUCUUCUGAGUGUUUUUGACUGAAUCGAUACGGUCUCUGAGCUCACGAAGAGACGCUUGGAGUGGUGAAACAGAGGAUGAUCUUGAAGGUGGAGAGGAAGUGUGAUUUGGGAGAGGAACUGGGCACUUGAGAACAGAUCGGAAUGAUAAGGAAGAUGAAUCAGCAGAAAGAGAUGGUUUUGAUGAAACCCACAUUGUUGUUAGAUUAGAGCAAGCCAUUUUUUCUUGUUUGUUUCAGACAGUGUUUUGCUCUAACCUUAUCUCUCUGUUCUUUUGAUUGUAUUGAAGAAGAAGAAAGAAGAGAGGAGAGAUUUGAGUGGAGGGAAGAGAAGGUAAUGAGAUUAGGUUUGGAGAUAAGGUUUUUUUUUUUACUUUGGUCUUUGGAGUCUGUGGGACCUUUUUUGUUGACGUGGCGUUGUAUUAGUGGAUGGUUCGAUAUCUUCAAUGUUUUUUUUUGUGUGUAUAUCUUGCUUCUUUGUUUAUCAGCCAACCAAUGGUUUUAUGAGUUUUGAGUCUCUCACAAUGAGAGAAAAUAUCUGAUAACUGAGGAUAGAAAUUAGUGUAAUUUGGUUUGGUUUAAUUUUAUUCGGUAUGGUUUUGGUUCAUUAGUAAAUAUAUAUAUAUACCAAUCAAAUUACCUAACAAGUUACAAUUCACUAAAAAUAGUAAAAUAUAUGUUGUUUUAUGUGGUUUGAUUUGUUAAUUGCUUCGAUUUAUUCCAAAAAAUAAUUUUAUAGAGCAAAAAAAUAUUAAGAAAACUAAUAUUUGGUUAUAAUGAAAUAAACAUAUAAUAAGAAAUAAUUAAAUUAUAUAUAUAUAUAUAUAUAGAAAUAUAUAAAAUUUAAUUCAUCAAAUUAGUUAUAAGAUGUAUAUAUAUGAAAAAUCAAGAAAAAUUUAACUUUAUUAUGAAAAUUGUAGUUUCUUUUUUUGGUUAAAUUUUGAUUUUAUUGGAUAUCCAAACUACAGAACUAGACAUAUUUGGAAUAUGCUUAUUAGUACAAAAACACACCGAAUCAUAGAAACCACAAUAAUUGGCAACUUGCUAUGAACAAGUUUUUAGUUUUAUUUGUUUUAUCUUAUCUCCAUCACCAAAAUUCUUUUAUUACGAUGUAAGCUCAUUUUCUCAUGGUUUUGGACAAACUUAAUUCAUCUAUAUAAAAUACCAACGAUCUAGUGACAUUCUAUUUCUUUAUUAAGUAAGGAUCAAAUUGAUCUUUGAAUAUUUGAUACAUACUUGAAGUAAAGCCCAUUAUUCUUUCCAUUUAUUAUUGCAUAGUGACAAAAUAAUAGAACAUUAAGGAUGCAUAACUUGUUGAGUCAUAAACCUUUAUGGGAUCUAGGGUUAUAGAGACAACCCAUGUAAAAUAUGCACUCGUGUCAAUAAUAUGAAGCCGUUUCUCUUUAACAUGGGUUGACUACCAUCACCCUAAGUUCAAUGAAGAUUAUGAUCAAUCAAAUCCGACAGAUUGUACAUAAUAUGCACCAUUUGUACAUUCUCAUCCUACAGAUUGUGGUUUCCAAAACAGGGUAUACGGAUUACUUAGGUAUUUGUACAUUCUCAUCCUGCAGAUAGACAGUUAUUUUAUUAAUCGAGAUAUAUCCGUAGACAUCACAAGUUAUUUUAUUUGUACAUUCUCAUCCGUAUAUCCUGUUUUGGAAACCACAAUCACUUGAUGGCCAACUUUUGUUAACAAGUCUAUUGGCUUUCCGUAACCAGAAUCGUCUGAAAGGAAAAGAAUGCUAUGAGUACGAGGGUGAUUCCGAAUCCACUUUGGUAUAAUCUAUUUUGUCUUCAGAUCUGCAGCUUGGUUUUUUUUUGGCGGUUGGAGGUCCUGAAAUAAAACGAUUAUUCAUUCAUUACAUCAAAGACACAAAUAGUUCACCAAAAUAAAAGAACAUCUUAAUUGGAAAAUUGUUGGUAAUGAUGAGUUUAAUGUUCUCCGUGUUCUUCAUCAUCUUCAGGUUUGGCAUAGGUGAGUCAAGGUAGCCCACAACCACCACAAAUUGUACUGGUCCACCAAAUCCGUUAGCCUUAAGUUGGUUCACGAUCUCCUCAAACGCUAGCCCGUGAUUCAUACCAGCUGAAAUCUCUAAGUUCUCGUAGUCCCACCAAACAAUGGUGGACACUUCUUUCUCCACAAGUGCCAGCGCAUCUUUCUCCACAAGAUUAUUGUAAGUGUCGAGUAAUUCAAUUGACUAAGAUAUAAAGAGCUUCAUAUUAUUAAAUACAUGCAUCAAAAAAUAUGUUCUUUAGAUUUAUAUUCCGAUGGAUGAUUUCUUUCAUCAUGGAUGUGCAUUAGGUCUUUUACAAUUUGAUGGAUUGUUCCCCAUACAAAAUCGUUAUUGGAGAAAUUAAAUUUAUUCAUAAACUGAACGGAGGGUCCUUAUACAAAACUCCAACUAAAUAUAAACAGUUAAAAUUUCAUCAUCCAUAUUUUACUUGAAUUCUCACACGAUUUGCUCGAGAUGGAACUCGCAAAAAAAAUUUGAGUGAGUAUCUUCUGCAAUUUAUGUUUAAUUUCAGUUUAUCCAACAAUAAAUUUCAUUAUAUUUUUGCGUUUGAAAAUUCAAAAUAUUUAAUUUUUAAGAAAAUUGAUGUAUUAUAACAGUUAAAAUGAUACGACUUGGUAUUAAGAAUUUCAAAAUCCAAAAUUCAUUUUUUAGGUUUUAUUUAGUUGUAUAAAUUAUUAUAUGUUAAUAUUAUUAUUAUUUUCUUUUUUGGAUUAGAAAAACAUUUUUUUUUUCUUUUUUGAUAAUGUUAAGGAAAUAAUUAUAUAUUUUGACACGUGCUUGAUCCAUCAUGUGGGUCUGGAAAACCAAGCUUGAAACUCUUAUUCGAAAUACCUCUUAGCAAUAUUUAAGUAAUAUAUUUGUAAAAGUGAAUGUUAAGAGAUAAUAUUUUUUAGUUAAGAUUUUUGUGUGAUUAAUGGUAGGCUCUUAGAAUUUUUAGGAAGAAAAUGAUUUGUGUUUACAACAAAAAAUUGAAGUGAUAAGAAAUUGAAGAUGAUACUUGUUUAUGGAGUAAAGUAUGGUUCAAUGACUUGGAUUUUUUGGUUGUGAGUUUGUAAGAAAAAAUAGACUUAAGACAAGAGAUAAUUCAUCGUAUAUAAACUUUGUGAUAUUUAUAGGCAAUGUUCUGAAAUAAUACCUGAUAAUUUUAUACAUGUUUAAUAAAAAAAAUCUCAGGAAUUCUAAAUUAUAAGAAGAGAGCUUGAUAAUAUGUGAGAGCAUGCUUUACAUGAAGGAUGAGCAGGAAGGCCAAGAUUUUGCGAGUGCUUCCAUGAACUCCACUGCUUCUUUAAACCGACAUUCAUGUUGAAGAACAUGACACAACUACAACAAAUAAGUAAGUGUUCAAUGGAACCUGAGAAUAAAUGAUGCAAAUGCUCAAUGUCAUGUAAAAUUGUUUGAGAAACUCACACAGUGAUGUGCCCAGGCGUCUUCUUUGUUUAUCUCAUAGCCUUUUUUGGAAGCUACUGCAGCUUCUUCCAUUCGACCAAGUUCUAACAAUGGGAACGCAAGUAUAUUCAGACCAAAGCAGAUUCUAGGCAAUGAUUUUGCCCAAAUUAGGAAUCCCCUUGUUCACUUCUAACUAGUAAAACCCAUCAUCAACCAAAACAUGAAAGACUCAAACAUGAAAGUGCACUAGCUUAAAACCACAAGAAUUCGUCAAUGGAAUAUACAUUAGAACUUCUAAUCAACUAGAGAAACACCACAUGAAUUUCAAAGUCUCCACUGCUCCUAAUUCCGACUAGAUUACGUCCAGCAAAACACUAAAUCCAAAAUCAAGACUUUCUACAUCUGAAAGCUUCAUUGCCUAAUUGUUCCAGUGAAGCAUCAAUCACCACAAAAUAGAUUACUGUUUUUGUUCUUCCCUAGUAAUAAGAGCAGUUUCACAUAAUAUAAAAAACCUAAAACCAAAACCAAACCUCUUUACAUAUAAAUUCAUCAUUCCCCAAUUGUUCAAAUCAACCAUGAAUCUAGCAUCGCAUAAACCCUAAGAUUAGAUUAUUUUGGGUUCUUCUCUUUGAUUUCAAAAAGACAAAAGAAUCGGACAUAAUUAUUAUUAAUAUACCUCAUGAUAAUCAAUGGUUCCAGCCGAAUCAAUGAUGAAAUUGGAAUCGAGACCUCUCUUCUUCACGAUAUUCCGCCGGAGGUCAUAAACAUCGUAGACUCCUCCGAUUGCUUCUGAUUUGAGACAAAUCGCCUUCGGUUUCGUUAUGGUAGAGAAACGCGUGAAAGAGAGAGGAGGAAGAGAGAAAAAUAUGGGGCAAUAAGAGAGAGGAGGAAGCCACGUAUGCGUCUCUUAGCAUAUUAUUUGGCUCUUAACUAAGGAACGAUUCUUAAAAUUUUAGUUAAUUAAUGAUUUAAUUUUAUUAACAAUUAUUGCUAAGAAUACACUAAGAAACUUGCGAUAAUCAUGCUCUUACUACAAAACCUAAUAACAUGGGUUUAGAUGGGCUAUCAUCUUGGGCUUUUAUGUGCUCUAAUAGUAUUGUCGUUUGUAUGACUCAUCUUCUUCAUCGGAUCUAAGGCGCCACUCAAAAGGGUUUAUGAAACCUUAAAGGUUAGGGUUUUAACAACAGAAAAAAAAAACUCAAAGGAGAUGGAUUUCGAGAAGAGAAAAGCUGCAACACUAGCUUCAAUUCGUUCGUCAGUGACUGACAAAUCUCCCAAAGGUUUUCUCGACGAACCCAUCAUCCCUCUUCUCGAAACCAUCAAUCACCACCCAUCUUACUUCACUACCAGUUCCUGCUCAGGUCGAAUCUCAAUCCUUUCUCAACCCAAACCAAAAUCGAAUGAUUCAACGAAGAAGAAAGCUCGUGGCGGUUCAUGGCUCUACAUCACACACGACCCAGCUGAUUCGGAUUUGGUAAUUUCUCUGCUUUUUCCUUCGAAGUCAAAUCAGAUUGACCCAAUUGACCAGCCUAGCGAAUUAGUCUUCCGAUUCGAGCCGUUGAUCAUUGCUGUCGAAUGUAAGGAUUUGGGUUCGGCUCAGUUUCUUGUGGCGUUAGCUAUAUCAGCUGGGUUUAGAGAAUCGGGUAUCACAUCUUGUGGGGAUGGCAAAAGGGUAAUUAUUGCUAUACGAUGUUCGAUUCGAAUGGAGGUGCCUCUUGGUGAUACAGAGAAGCUGAUGGUUUCGCCGGAGUAUGUGAAGUUCCUUGUUGAUAUUGGAAAUGAGAAGAUGGAUGCUAAUAGGAAGCGAACCGAUGGGUUUAGUGUAGCUUUGACUAGUAAUGGUUUCAAGAAUCCAGAUGCAAAUGAUGUUGAUGAAGAUGAUAAUUACGAGAAUCUAGCUGGAGAUCAUGAUUCAAGUAUCAACAACGGAAACUUGCAUCCUGGUAAUUUUUGUAUAUCCCUGUGUGAUUGUUGUAUUCGUAGAUAGCUUGAGUAAUGCAAUGAGGUUGGACAUGUUACAGUCUAUGAUGUAGUGUUUAACUAUAGUCUUGUUUAGUUUAUACUAGUGGUAGUCAUAUGGUCGAGAGUUUGAGUUAUGUCUACUUGGUUUGCAGGAUAACAUUCAAAUUUUAAACGUGAUAGCCAGUUUCCGUAUGUAAAUCAUUGGCAGGGCUUCAGCAAGAUCUCAUACCGCUCUCGAAAUUAUCCAUAGUCGGGGAACCUGUUGAGAAGCUCCACCUUUGGGGACACUCAGCUUGUACGAUAGAUAAACCCGACCGAAAAGAGGUUAUCGUGUUUGGUGGGUUUGGAGGUUUUGGUAGACAUGCUCGAAGAAAUGAGUCUUUGCUGCUCGAUCCUUCAUGUGGCAACUUAAAGUUGAUUGCUGUCAAUGAAUCUCCAUCAGCACGACUUGGCCACACAGCUUCAAUGGUUGGCGAUUUCAUGUUUGUGAUUGGAGGAAGGGCUGAUCCCUUGAACAUUUUGAAUGAUGUGUGGAGGCUCGAUAUAUCCAAGGGUGAAUGGAGCUCACAGAGGUGUAUUGGAAGUGAAUUUCCUCCAAGGUAAAUGUCAUUUUCUGUGUCCAUUUCUUCAAAAAACCUUUGACCUAUCUCCAAUGACAAACUUAUAUGAACUUCAAAUUCUCGGAGAUGCCCUCAACUGUAUUUUAGAAACUAAUAAUCCUGUUUAUUGCUCUUGGUUUGAUGCCUAUCUUGCUUCAUGUCUAUGAUUUAUUAUAUAUGUUUUUUGUUGCUUGUUGCAUUGACGCCCCUUCAGAUAAUUGUUAUCUCGAAUUUUCUUCUAAAUGCAAAUUCUUUGAAUUUGAGCAGGCAUCGGCAUGCAGCAGCCAGUGUUGGCACGAAAGUAUACAUAUUUGGUGGGCUUUACAAUGAUAAGAUAGUUUCCUCUUUGCACAUUUUGGAUACAAAGGACCUGCAGUGGAAAGAAGUUGAACAACAAGGUCAAUGGCCCUGUGCGCGCCACUCUCAUGCUAUGGUUGCAUAUGGGUCACAGUUAUUCAUGUUUGGAGGAUACAAUGGGGAAAAUGUACUCAAUGAUCUAUACAGCUUUGAUGUGCAAAGCUGUUCUUGGAAACUUGAAGUGAUUUCUGGAAAAUGGCCUCCUGCAAGGUUUUCACACUCAAUGUUUGUUUAUAAGCAUAAUACUGGCAUAAUUGGAGGUUGUCCUGUUUCACAAAAUUGUCAAGAGUUGACUUUGCUAGAUCUGAAGCACCGAUUGUGGAGGAGUGUGAGAUUGGAAUUUAUGAACAAAGAGUUGUUUGUUAGAAGUACAGCCAGCGUUCUUGGUGAUGAUCUUAUCGUCAUUGGGGGUGGGGCUGCUUGCUAUGCUUUUGGGACAAAGUUUAGUGAACCAGUGAAAACCAACUUGGUUCAAUCUGUGACUAUGAGUGAAAAUAAUGUUCCUCUCCAACCUGAAGAUGUUUCUAUAGAAUGGAAUAAAAACGAUGCAGAUUUGAAGACUGAAAUGUCUCUGUCUCAACCAUGGGUGAUACAGUUAGAAAGAAAAUAUGCAAAGUUUGGCAAGGAUCUACUUAAAAGUUUUGGAUGGUUAGACCUUGAGAGGAAGGUUUACUCAAACGAAAAAGGUCUUUGUAUAUGCUUUCCUGUGACUGAAAAGUUUUCUGAACUUUUCCAUGAGAAGCAGCUUUUGGGCAAGGACUUAGAAGGGUCAGAGGAUGAUAGCCUAGAAAAGGGUCUAUCCUUAAAAGACAUAUCCAGCUCAGCGGCUUUGAAUCUUCUGAAGGAACAUGGUGCUAAAAAACUCAUUAAUGUCGCUUUUGAAGCCAAAAAAGUUGCGAAAUCCCCCUUACAGAGAAUGAGAGAAUAUAUCACAUCUAUACUUAAACAGAAAGGCCUACCGGAAGAGCUUUUGGACGAGCUCCCACAGAAGUAAGUGUUCCAGAAUGUUGAUUUUAUAAUACUCGGGGACUAAAAUGGUGAGAAUCUGAUUGCGUGCAUGUUUGUUUUUACUUCCGUCUGAUAAGUAAUUGUGAUUUAUCUACUGGUAGAUGGGAACGGCUUGGGGAUAUUGUUGUGCUUCCUGCAACAUCCUUUAAAGAUCCAACUUGGAACUCUAUCAGUGAUGAAGUUUGGUGUGCGGUUUCUAAAUCACUUAGUGCCAACCGCCUUGCACGCCAAGUAUGUUGCUUUUAGAUCCUUGCACCAAUAUUUUUAAAGUGCAAACCUGUAUAUCUUACCUAUUCAUCUUAAAGCGCCUCAAAAUCUACAAUACUGGUUUAUUAUAAGUUGUGAGAGUGCUGAGAACUUUACAAACUAUUCUCUUCCCCAAUUGCAUCUGCUUACCAGUAAGACUUAUAUCAUCGAUUUUGUGUCUUUUUCAGGGACGAGUUGAACCUAAUGGUACAAGGGAUAGUACAUUGGAGAUUCUUGUGGGAGAUAAUGGAUGGGUUGAUCACUGUGAAAAUGGGAUCUUGUACUCUUUCGAUGCUACAAAGUGUAUGUUCUCAUUGGGUAAUCUCUCAGAAAAGCUUCGUAUGGGUAACAUGGCCUGUGAAAAUGAAGUUGUGGUGGAUCUGUUCGCUGGAAUUGGAUAUUUUGUUCUCCCAUUUCUUGUGAGGUAUGCCAUUAUUGAAUGAAUUAGAGAAGAGAAAGUGGUUUUAUACAAUCAAAAGUCAAUACUUUAUUAAUGCAUUCUCAAUUUACAUUUGCAGGGCAAAAGCAAGGCUAGUAUAUGCUUGUGAGUGGAAUCCCCAUGCUAUUGAAGCUCUUCGACGUAAUGUUGAAGCAAAUUCUGUUUCUGACCGGUGUAUCAUUCUUGAAGGGGAUAACCGGAUCACCGCACCGAAAGUACGGUUGAUGAUAUUCCAAACUGCUCACCAUCUAUUUAAUUCUAUGCAAAUGUUUCAAGGUAUACCUGUUGGAUCGAGUAAAUCGCUGAAGUAAUAGAUUUCGUGUUUCAAAUCUUUUGAUUCUCAGGGAGUGGCUGACAGAGUCAAUCUUGGUCUUAUCCCGAGUAGCGAAGGAAGCUGGGUCACAGCUAUUCAGGCAUUAAGGUGAUUGUACUUUCCUGAAAUCUUGUUCUUUACUACAAGAACCAGCAGCAUAAAGUCUGGAACAAGUUAAAGUUCAGUCUCUCCAAAAGAUAUAAUCUUCAAGAUGAUUCAAACUCAGGGAUGUAAAAAUCUUAUGCCACACUGCUCUUGGAACCUCUGAAUAUGAUCCAAGAAUGCAAUCAUGAGAGAGAACAACCACUCGAUUGAAUGUGAAUUCACUGAUGUCUCUGUUAUUGUUAUUGGAACUUGCAGGCCUGAGGGAGGAAUACUCCAUGUGCAUGGAAACGUCAAGGACUCAGAUGAGAGCAGUUGGGGCGAGCAUGUCACCAAAACAUUAAGUGAUAUCGCCAGAGCCGAAGGUAAUAAGUUUAUGAACAAAAUCGAAAGCUUUUUGAACCAAAAAAAAAAAGAGCAUUGGUUUUUGAAAUUCGGUUUUGUUACUCGUAAACCAGCGUAACUAGGAUUUACUGGGUGAUGAGAUUUCUAAUCUUGAUUUGGGUAAUACUAGAAAAUAACUUGGGACUUAUAUUAUUUUUGGGUUUUCAUGGUUUAGGUCGUAGCUGGGAAGUGACAGUGGAACAUAUAGAGAAGGUGAAAUGGUACGCUCCUCGGAUUCGCCAUCUUGUCGCCGAUGUGAGAUGCAGAUGUUGAUGACAACGACAACAACAACAGCGAGAGUGCAGCUCAGAGAGUUCCCAUUGUAUUGUUGAACUUGUAUGAUCUCAAUUUCGAUAAAUGGUUUUUCACCAUUUGAGACAUUGAUUACUCUGUAGUCUGUACCAUUCCCAAGUAAUCAGUUCCCCAGUAACAAUCCUACAAUUCAAUCCAUAUGAAUUCCCUCAGUACUUAAAUAGGUGUUUUUUACUUACAUUCUUGCAAAACUUCUAAUGGGGCUAUAAUGGAUAUUCAUAUAACAAUACUUAUUCAUAACACUUAAAUAGUUAAACCCUAAGUGACUUUUUUAAAAAACAGUUGACCACCACCUCUGUCUCCGUUAUUAGGUCUUUGUGAGAAUCUUCAUUGAGUUUUACGUAGCUCUAUAAGAUAUAACAAAUGGUUCUUCACUCCAAGGCUCCUGCAAAGAAGCAGCAAAAUAAACGAAUUGCUUUCAAGGUAGCACCCUUUUAAAAUUGCUCUCUCUUUUCUUAUGAAUCUUCUUCAAGUGUUUGACAAUUUUUUGGUGUUAAUUUUGCAGAAAAUUAAGAGAAAACUCGGGAGAAAAUUGCCUAAGAUUCAAAAAUCAAAAGGUAUAUUGCUUUCUCAUGCAAUUCAAACUUCUUUUUUUUUUUUUUUUGCUUCUGUGAGUAUAGGUGGUUGAAACUUUCUUUUGUUUAUAUUGCAGAAAUGAUACUUCCUGAGCAAAGUGUGGCAGCUGAAAAAAGGAAAGGCUUGACCCUCAAUGAUCUUCUGCAACAAACUUCACAUUGCAAUGCCAAACUUCGCAAAGGUACUUUUUUUUCUCUCUUGGUCAUGCUUUUUUGGUUGAGGAAGAUAUGAUGCUUGCUAUGUGGACUUUUGCAAGAAUCAUCCAGCAGAGCUGCAGUCACAUAAAUAAUUUAUCAUUCAGAAACUCAGCAAACGUAUUAGUGAUGAUGAUAUAAGCUUGUUAGAGAUACUCUUUACCAACAACUAUUGAGAAAGUCAUCUUUCCUCCUUGUAAAGAGGUAUUAGUUCUUCUCUUUGGAUCAAACUUGCAUCCUUACUAGUAAGUUAACUGUUGUAUCCAACAGUCGAAUCUAUAUAUGUGUGAAUGAAUCUAUUCAGGAUAACCUUAUGGUGUCACUUUUAAUGCCAUGCAUAUCUUGCGCUAUGGCUCAUCGAUUGAUGUUCUUGGAUUGUGAUACAGACUGUUACUUUUCCCAACUUUUGCCUCUAGUGUUUCUUGCAAGAUGUUCCAUGAAAUUUCCAUGUGCUACUUGUUGCAGCUUCUCGAAAUCUACAAGGAUAACAAACCGACAAAUUAAUUUGAUAUUUAACGCGAGAACGAAAGCGAGAUUUCCAUAAUUCCCAUUUGGGACUAAGUGAUAAAAUAUUGGAAAUAUAGAGAAUAUCACACACAAACUUAAUUAAUCUUCCUAAAUUUCAAAGUUGUACCCAGCCAAGUUACACUUGUAAGUUGUUAUAAUUUUUCUUUUAAUUGGCAUGCUUUCAUUUGCGGGCAUUUCUAUUGAUGUUCGAAUUUUAAUUUCUAUACUACAAAGUUCUGUCCUGAAUUCUGAUUAUUCCAUUUCUACCCAGAGCAACCACAUACUAAAAUUUAAUUCUUUUUUUUUUUGUCUCAAAAGUUUUAUUAUAUUCUACAGCAAAUAUUACAUGAGCCGGCAGGACUAAAGCCUCCGGAAGUAAAGCCGAGAAAACGAGAAUAUCCCGGAAAAGCAUUCGUUGAUACCAGAAUCUAAACCAACGUACGAAAGCAAAA